AGAAAUUGUAACUUAAAGUCUUGAAUUAGUUCUUGGAAGUUUGAGGUUGAAGCUUGUUGUGCAUAGUCGAUUAGCCUUAUUUUUCCAAGUUGCGAAGGAGGUAGUUCCGGAAGAAGGAACUAGUGUGGUUGAAUUGAAAGAUUUGUAGAGCUUGAAGUUGACCUU